UACGGGGGGGGUAAGCGUUGUUCGGAAUUACUGGGCGUAAAGGGCUCGUAGGCGGCCAACUAAGUCAUACGUGAAAUCCCUCAGCUUAACUGGGGAACUGCGUGUGAUACUGGAUGGCUUGGAUUUGGGAGAGGGAUGCGGAAUUCCAGGUGUAGCGGUGAAAUGCGUAGAUAUCUGGAGGAACACCGGUGGCGAAGGCGGCAUCCUGGACCAAUAUUGACGCUGAGGAGCGAAAGCCAGGGGAGCAAACGGGAUUAGAUACCCCGGUAGUCCUGGCCCUAAACGAUGAAUGCUUGGUGUAGCGGGUAUCGAUCCCUGCUGUGCCGAAGCUAACGCAUUAAGCAUUCCGCCUGGGGAGUACGGUCGCAAGGCUGAA
rnacentral:rRNA from 1 species